rnacentral:rRNA from 1 species
CAAGUGGCGGACGGGUGAGUAACACGUAAGAAUUUGCCUUUAGGAGGGGGACAACAACUGGAAACGGUUGCUAAUACCCCAUAUGCUUUCGAGUGAAAUGGAUUUUUCCGCCUAAAGAGAAGCUUGCGGCUGAUUAGCUUGUUGGUGAGGUAAUGGCUCACCAAGGCGACGAUCAGUAUCUGGUUUGAGAGGACGAUCAGACACACUGGAACUGAGACACGGUCCAGACUCCUACGGGAGGCAGCAGUGGGGAAUUUUCCGCAAUGGGCGAAAGCCUGACGGAGCAAUACCGCGUGAGGGAUGACGGCCUAUGGGUUGUAAACCUCUUUUUUCAGGGAGGAAUCAAAUGACGUGUACCUGAAGAAUAAGCAUCGGCUAACUCCGUGCCAGCAGCCGCGGUAAGACGGAGGAUGCAAGUGUUAUCCGGAAUCACUGGGCGUAAAGCGUCUGUAGGUGGUCCAAUAAGUCAACUGUUAAAUCUUGAGGCUCAACCUCAAAAUCGCAGUCGAAACUAUUAGACUAGAGUAUAGUAGGGGUAAAGGGAAUUUCCAGUGGAGCGGUGAAAUGCGUAGAUAUUGGAAGGAACACCGAUGGCGAAGGCACUUUACUGGGCUAUUACUAACACUCAGAGACGAAAGCUAGGGUAGCAAAUGGGGAUUAGAUACCCUGGUAGUCCCCU